rnacentral:rRNA from 1 species
UACGAGAGGCCCAACCGUUAUUCGGAAUUACUGGGCUUAAAGAGUUCGUAGGCGGCAUAGUAAGUAGGGUGUGAAAGCCCUCGGCUCAACCGAGGAAUUGCGCUCUAAACUACUGUGCUUGAGGAAGCUAGAGGUGAGCGGAACUGAUGGUGGAGCGGUGAAAUGCGUUGAUAUCAUCAGGAACACCGGAGGCGAAGGCGGCUCACUGGGGCUUUUCUGACGCUGAGGAACGAAAGCCAGGGUAGCGAACGGG